UCCAAAUUUAUAGUUCUGGUCUGAGCCCAUUGGAGGACUUCUGUACCUAAAUCCGUAAAGAUCUGUCCGUUCAUCUUUAAGAUCCAUCACACAUGCUUGAUUAAGUAUUAGUCGUUCAAAUAAACCCUCCAAUAAUUUUGUCCCAAUUCUUCUUGGAAAAUUCGAAUUCUGAAUAUAUAUAUAUAUAUAAACAAAUAAUAAUAUUCAAGAAAGCACAAAAGAGAAAUAUUCAUAAAGCGACAGCGGAGGUCUCUUCGCUCUUCAAAUUUCCCCAAGAAACCCAAGAGCGAGCGCGAGGAAGAGGCUACCGCGGCCAAUCAGCCACCCAAUCUCGCUUUCUUUUUAUCGCUCUCCCGCUCGCCCCGCUUCUUGAUCGUUGUUUUGUUGCCGAAUUAGAGAUUUGGGUUGAUCCUCAAUUAGAUGGACUGAGAUGAUCUUUCGUUUUGUGGUGGAUGAUUUGAGGUAGGAUUUAGGGUGAUCUUUGGUUUUCUGUUGGAUGAUCUGGCGACGUACGCUUUGCGUGCGUUCAUGGCAGGCAAAAGAUUUGUGGUUCACGAUUUCUGUGUUUUUUUAUGGGACCUUUUCAGUCUGGUUUUCGGUACAGCUCCGCAGAAAUCUUGAUUCUUGAAUAAGGGAAACCGUAGGUUUUAUACCUGUUGCUUAGAAAGAAUGUGCAAGAACAGAUAGAAAUAAGGGAAAGAAAGAGGACAGCAGCAAUGUGAUGAAGGAAGGAAGGAAUCGAAGAGGAUGGAGAAAAGGCAUCAUGCGCAUCACACAAAAAGAUGAACUCCGCUUUCAAGAACUCAUUUCGUCAUGCAACUUGGAUUCGAAGAAUUGAUUCCUUAUGACUUGAUAACUUUCCUUAUCCAUUCUAAACUCGAAAUAGAGUUCAUCAGAUGAAAUGGGAUUCUUGAUCCAAUUCUGAACCAGACAAUGACAUUUCUUGAAAGUGUUUGUUGGUCGCCUAAUUUUUAUAUUUUUUGCAUUACUUUGUUUUCUUUUAGAAGACCUAUGCAUUUUAUUGCUUAGUUUUGCUUUUCCAUUUAAACGACAGGAUAUGAGGGGGAACAAAGCCUAGCAGCAUUAGAGAAUGCCAACAUAUGCAUAAGUUGCUGAUGGAUCUAAAGUUGAAAUUUAUGAUAUUAGGAAUUCCUUUUCUUUUGAUGAAGAGGACCUUCGAAAAUUAUGGGCAAAAUGUAUGUGCUCAUUUCUGCAAGAGUUAAAUGAUGCUGCUGGAGUCAAGUUCAUUUAUGAGUCUCCAGAAAACUUAAUCGAGAAAUUUUUUACUGAAUUUGCUUCAGUAAUAACAAACAGGAACACAUCAUAACUGAGUCAAAGCCUGAUUUUUUUCCAGAUGACGACCAUGUUCACGGAUCACAAGAAUAAUCAACUUUAAUGUGACUGGCCCAGUUAUGUACAAGCAUACACCAUAUAUAGUUCUUGUAACUAUUGGCAUCUGCUAGACGGAAGGAAGACUUUAAGGUUGUGAUUUCUCUGGUCUUAUGUUUCUUUAAUUGUAAUUUGAAGUAGUUAUAUACUUUUUGAUUUAUCA